rnacentral:rRNA from 1 species
UGGGGAAUAUUGCACAAUGGAGGGAACUCUGAUGCAGCGACGCCGCGUGAACGAAGAAGGCUUUCGAGUCGUAAAGUUCUUUUAUAUGGGAAGAUAAUGACGGUACCAUAAGAAAAAGCCCCGGCUAACUACGUGCCAGCAGCCGCGGUAAUACGUAGGGGGCUAGCGUUGUCCGGAAUCACUGGGCGUAAAGGGUUCGCAGGCGGAAAAGCAAGUCAGGUGUAAAAGGCAGUAGCUUAACUACUGUAAGCAUUUGAAACUGCAUAUCUUGAGAAGAGUAGAGGUAAGUGGAAUUUUUAGUGUAGCGGUGAAAUGCGUAGAUAUUAAAAAGAAUACCGGUGGCGAAGGCGACUUACUGGGCUCAUUCUGACGCUGAGGAACGAAAGCGUGGGUAGCAAACAGG